GAUGAAGAACGUAGCGAAAUGCGAUAAGUAGUGUGAAUUGCAGAAUUCAGUGAAUCAUCGAAUCUUUGAACGCACAUUGCGCCCCUUGGUAUUCCAUGGGGCAUGCCUGUUCGAGCGUCAUCUACACCCUCAAGCCUCGCUUGGUAUUGGGCAACGCGGUCCGCCGCGUGCCUCAAAUCGACCGGCUGGGUCUUCUGUCCCCUAAGCGUUGUGGAAACUAUUCGCUAAAGGGUGUUCGGGAGGCUACGCCGUAAAACAACCCCAUUUCUAAGGUUGACCUCGGAUCAGGUAGGGAUACCCGCUGAACUUAAGCAUAUCAAUAAGCGGAGGA
rnacentral:misc_RNA from 1 species